AUUGACCGCUGGCGGCAUGCCUUACACAUGCAAGUCGAACGGUAACGGGCCUUCGGGUGCCGACGAGUGGCGAACGGGUGAGUAAUGUAUCGGAACGUACCUUUCAGUGGGGGAUAACGUAGCGAAUGUUACGCUAAUACCGCAUCUUCUGUGAGCAGGCAAGCAGGGGAUCGAAAGACCUUGCGCUUAUUGAGCGGCCGAUAUCAGGUUAGCUCGUUGGUGAGGUAAAGGCUCACCAAGGCGACGAUCUGUAGCGGGUCUGAGAGGAUGAUCCGCCACACUGGAACUGAGACACGGUCCAGACUCGUACGGGAGGCAGCAGUGGGGAAUUUUGGUCAAUGGGGGCAACCCUGAUCCAGCCAUGCCGCGUGAGUGAAGAAGGCCUUCGGGUUGUAAAGCUCUUUCGGCCGGGAAGAAAUCGUAUCAGCUAAUACCUGGUGCGGAUGACGGUACCGGCAUAAGAAGCACCGGCUAACUACGUGCCAGCCGCCGCCGUAACAC
rnacentral:rRNA from 1 species